AUUGAACGCUGGCGGCAUGCUUUACACAUGCAAGUCGAACGGUAACAGGGUGCUUGCACCGCUGACGAGUGGCGAACGGGUGAGUAAUGCGUCGGAACGUGCCGAGUAGUGGGGGAUAACGCAGCGCAAGUUGUGCUAAUACCGGAUACGUACUGAGGUUGAAAGUGGGGGACCUUCGGGCCUUACGCUAUUCGAUCGGCGGACGUCUGAUUAUCUAGUAGGUGAGGUAAAGGCCCACCUAGGCGACGAUCAGUAGCGGGUCUGAGAGGAUGAGCCGCCACACGGGCACUGAGACACGGGCCCGACUCCUAAGGGAGGCAGCAGUAAGGAAUAUUGGUCAAUGGACGCAAGUAUGAACAAGCCAUGCCGCGUGAAGGAUUAAGGUCCUCUGGAUUGUAAACUUCUUUUAUUUGGGACGAAAAAGGGCCUUCCUAGGUCAACUGACGGUACCAGAUGAAUAAGCACCGGCUAACUCCGUGCCAGCAGCCGCCGCGGUAA
rnacentral:rRNA from 1 species